rnacentral:misc_RNA from 1 species
CCGAGCCGAAGAUCCUGCUGCUCGACGAGCCCGCGGGCGGCCUCAAUCACGAGGAAGUCUACGUUCUCGGCGACCUGAUCUGCCGUAUCCGCGACCAGCGCAACAUCACGGUUCUGCUCGUCGAACAUCACAUGGGAUUGGUGAUGAAGAUCGCCGAUCACGUCGUCGCACUGAAUUUCGGCAAGAAGCUCGCUGAAGGCACCCCGUCUCAGGUGCAGUCCGACCCCGACGUCAUCAAGGCCUAUCUGGGGAGCAAGGACCAAUGAGCACGAUGCUGACAAUCAGGGACCUGCGUGCCUAUUACGGCCAGGUUCAGGCGCUGCACGGACUGGAAUUCUCCCUCAACGAGGGCAGUGUCACCACACUCCUCGGCGCCAACGGCGCCGGCAAGACCACGACACUGCGGGCGAUCUGCAACAUGAUCCGCUCCACGGGCAACAUCGAGUUCGACGGCA